rnacentral:tRNA from 3 species
GGGCAGGUGGUGAAAUGGCAAACACGCAAGGUUUAGGACCUUGUGCCGAAAGGCUUGAGGGUUCAAGUCCCUCCCUGCCCA